ACGGGGGGUGCGAGCGUUGUCCGGAUUUACUGGGUUUAAAGGGUGCGUAGGCGGAAAUAUAAGUCAGUGGUGAAAUCCCGCAGCUCAACUGCGGAACUGCCAUUGAAACUGCAUUUCUUGAAUACGGUUGAGGUAGAUGGAAUGUAACAUGUAGCGGUGAAAUGCUUAGAUAUGUUACAGAACUCCGAUUGCGAAGGCAGUCUACUAAGCCGUUAUUGACGCUGAGGCACGAAAGCGUGGGGAGCAAACAGGAUUAGAUACCCUGGUAGUCCACGCCCUAAACUUUGAUAACUCGCUGUUGGCGAUAUACUGUCAGCGGCUAAGCGAAAGCGUUAAGUUAUCCACCUGGGAAGUACGUCCGCAAGGAUG
rnacentral:rRNA from 1 species